UCAAAGAUUUUGAUUGAUGAAGAAAUAACCGACAUUCAGAAGUACAAGGAGAGGUAUGAUGACAUUGCUUUAUCUAUGAGUAUUUACCUUGCUUUUUUAUUAUAAAAUACUGAUUUCUUACUUACAAUAAUUGAAUGUACAUUAUUUUGGGCAGUUUUUCAACUAUGUUUCUAUCCUGUGACACAUUGAGCCAUGGUAACAGUCAACUCUGACAAUAUUCUUAUUUAUCUGAUGAUGAUCGAUUUAUGUAUAAAGCAGAGGUGAAGAGUAUUACUGAAAUUUCUGCCCUUACAUCAACUGAGGUAUAUUGUAGAUUUAUUCUCUCCAUUCAUUAUUGCAGGAUGGUACUAAGGUAUAUUUUUUCUGUUUUUUUAUAGGAAAUAACAUGUGUAA
rnacentral:lncRNA from 1 species